GACGUGUCGAACUCCAGCGCGCGCUCCGGCACCACCGCUUUCGUUUGUGGAAAAGCAGAAAAGAAAAGCGUGUCCGUCCUUCGCGCGUUUGUCUGGAGUAACAAACCGAACCUGAACCGGCCCGGGGUGGAAACUUGGAGCUGAAGUGGCUAAAGUCGGAGUCCUUUUUUUUCCAUUUCCACUGACAGUUCGCGCACACACGGGAAAAGAAGCGAAAGAGCGGAGCGGAGCGCGCACGCAGACUGCCACAUUGAGCCCAGCGCCACUGCCUCUGAUCAGGACCACCUCAGAACUAUUUUUGCUGCAGUGGAGGACGGUAAACACAGACUGGGACAGGAGCUCCACACUGACUCCUGACCUCACAGACCCCGAGCAGCAGCAGCAGCAGCAGCACGAGCUUCUCUCAGCUUCACUCUCAAAGACAAGAUAUAAUCACAGCGUGGAGCAGUGAGGACGGCCGGAGGAGAGAGGCUGCAAAAC